rnacentral:lncRNA from 1 species
GAUGAAGUCUGUUCCAUGCACCAACAGUCACAACUGAAAAUGCCAUCCAUCACUCAUCAAUUGUGUGUACAGGAGCUGAGCCCUCCUUCACUAGCUGCCAACAAGACCGGAUGAGCCAGUAGGCAGGAAGUUGUCCAGUGGAGGGAUUAAAGGUACCCAUGUCGAAAUUAGCUUAAAAAUCCUGAUUGGAAGUCAGUCUGCCUUGUACUGAAUUUGGCUUAAGAACUCGGGAAAAGAGAAGCUGUUUAGAGAAUCAACUAAAGCUCCACAUUUUGCGUUCACACCAUGUGUGUUUAAAACCUGGGCCUGACAUUUAUCAGGAAACUCAUGCACAGAGCUUCAACUUGGAAAACAAAGAGAACAAGCAGGCUACUCAGGAGCCAGUCUGUGCCAUCUUGUCAAGAAAGUAUCAGCUGAUGCCUAACACUUCCACACUUUAUAAGAAACACUUUUCUGGGUUGCCAUUCUUGCCUGGAUUUUAUUUCAUGAUUAGAGCACAUGAAAUUCAAAAUAACAAGAUGCCAACCCUGUCAAUCUAGCCUGUGAAAAUUACUUCCACCUUGAAGGCACCAGUAAUUGUCCCCCAAAAGAAAUAGCUAAUGUCCAAUCCCUAAUUCAACUAUCUCUGAUUUCAGGUAAAAUGUAGC